ACAGCACUUCCUGCUAGCACUUCAGAUUUUAGAGAGGAGAAGCAGAAGUUACCUGAUUCCGUAGUGUGGAUUUUUGCUUUCUUUUUUUUUUUUUUCAUUUUUUCUUUUUUUCCCCUUCCUUACUGCCUUUGCCUGUAGCCAGUGAAUUAGUUUUACCCUGAGGAUUCAACACAUUGAUAAGGUCUAUCAUCGCGGUGAGCACAUUCCUGAUAUACUGUCCUCAAGAGCAGCUACACCAGGUAAACCUCAGCUAGCAGUUCUGUGUCUGAAAAUGGAGCAAAUACUUAUGAGCACCGAAGAAGAAGGGCAAGUGUGGAGUCAUCGUCCCUCUAUCGUGUAUACAAUCCCUCAGUUUCAUUGCAUGAGACAAAUGAAACAUGGAGGAUUCACAGUUGCCAUAGUUGCCCUUCAGCAUUAAUCAUGCCAACAGCAUUGUGGAGAUCUCUGUGAUUCUGUUGUGUCUAGCCAAAAGUCCUGUGGAAGGAGGGAAGCUGGGGCACAGCAAUAUGUACUCUGUGUAAAGAGGUUAGAUUUGUAAAGCCUGCCAAAGUGUGCCAGAAUCACCGAAAGAGGAGAAAACCUUGAGAAAAUGCAGUGGAUCAUGGAGCACUGUCACCACUAUGAGACAGACAAAAGGUCUCAUGAUAGAAAACAUAAAACAGAGCAGAAGAAUGUUUGGCAGAAGAACCUGUUUUUUCAAUAGCUUGACCUGAGACUAACCUAUGUAGGAAGCAAUGUUUUCCCUUCAAGCUUAUACAGACUCACAAGGGUGCUUUGUGGGGAUGGGAGACAAUGAGUUUAUGAUGUUUUGAGUAUCAAAAUAAGCUACAAAAACUUGAGCAUUUCUAAUUAAACUGAAGAGU
rnacentral:lncRNA from 1 species